GUAUGCGCUGCUGCGUUUGUUGGCUGUGUUGCUGGAGGCCGGUGGUGGCGGUGCUGGUGUUUGGUGGUGGUAUCCAUCCUUCCGUCUUGUCCGCUGUGUUCCUGGGAGUGGGUUGCUUCACUGAGUGUGUCUGCCACGUGUGCCUGGUGAUUUAAGUUGGUUUCUCUUUUUUUGGUGGAUCCUUCCCCUUCACUAGUCCUUGUCCACUCACUAGGCCUCAGCCCUGAUUAGGUUCUUUCCCCCUCCCUGUGUGAACGUUUUUUUAAAAGAAAAAUGAUUGUUUAAUAAAAAGUCUAUUUUUUUUAAAACUUGGAA